GGAGCGGUAGUUCAGUUGGUUAGAAUACCGGCCUGUCACGCCGGGGGGCGCGGGUUCGAGCCCCGUCCGCUCCG
rnacentral:tRNA from 1 species